AGUGAACGCUGGCGGUAGGCCUAACACAUGCAAGUCGAACGGCAGCACAGUAAGAGCUUGCUCUUACGGGUGGCGAGUGGCGGACGGGUGAGGAAUAGAUCGGAAUCUACUUUUUCGUGGGGGAUAACGUAGGGAAACUUACGCUAAUACCGCAUACGACCUACGGGUGAAAGCAGGGGAUCUUCGGACCUUGCGCGAUUGAAUGAGCCGAUGUCGGAUUAGCUAGUUGGCGGGGUAAAGGCCCACCAAGGCAACGAUCCGUAGCUGGUCUGAGAGGAUGAUCAGCCACACUGGAACUGAGACACGGUCCAGACUCCUACGGGAGGCAGCAGUAGGGAAUAUUGGACAAUGGGCGAAAGCCUGAUCCAGCAAUACUGCGUGAGUGAAGAAGGCCUUCGGGUUGUAAAGCCCUUUUAUUGGGAAAGAAAAGCAGCAGAUUAAUACCCCGAUGUUCUGACGGUACCCAAAGAAUAAGCACCGGCUAACUUCGUG
rnacentral:rRNA from 1 species